GAGAAUGUUAUCACGGGAGACACACGGCGGGUGCUAACGUCCGUCGUGAAGAGGGAAACAACCCAGACCGCCAGCUAAGGUCCCAAAGUCAUGGUUAAGUGGGAAACGAUGUGGGAAGGCCCAGACAGCCAGGAUGUUGGCUUAGAAGCAGCCAUCAUUUAAAGAAAGCGUAAUAGCUCACUGGUCGAGUCGGCCUGCGCGGAAGAUGUAACGGGGCUAAACCAUGCACCGAAGCUGCGGCAGCGACACUAUGUGUUGUUGGGUAGGGGAGCGUUCUGUAAGCCUGUGAAGGUGGCCUGUGAGGGUUGCUGGAGGUAUCAGAAGUGCGAAUGCUGACAUAAGUAACGAUAAAGCGGGUGAAAAGCCCGCUCGCCGGAAGACCAAGGGUUCCUGUCCAACGUUAAUCGGGGCAGGGUGAGUCGACCCCUAAGGCGAGGCCGAAAGGCGUAGUCGAUGGGAAACAGGUUAAUAUUCCUGUACUUGGUGUUACUGCGAAGGGGGGACGGAGAAGGCUAUGUUGGCCGGGCGACGGUUGUCCCGGUUUAAGCGUGUAGGCUGGUUUUCCAGGCAAAUCCGGAAAACCAAGGCUGAGGCGUGAUGACGAGGCACUACGGUGCUGAAGCGACAAAUGCCCUGCUUCCAGGAAAAGCCUCUAAGCAUCAGGUAACAUCAAAUCGUACCCCAAACCGACACAGGUGGUCAGGUAGAGAAUACCAAGGCGCUUGAGAGAACUCGGGUGAAGGAACUAGGCAAAAUGGUGCCGUAACUUCGGGAGAAGGCACGCUGAUAUGUAGGUGAAGCGACUUGCUCGUGGAGCUGAAAUCAGUCGAAGAUACCAGCUGGCUGCAACUGUUUAUUAAAAACACAGCACUGUGCAAACACGAAAGUGGACGUAUACGGUGUGACGCCUGCCCGGUGCCGGAAG
rnacentral:rRNA from 1 species